AGGCCAGUGGCUCAAUUGGCAGAGCUCUCGUCUCCAACACGAGCGGUUGUGGGUUCGAUUCCUACCUGGCCUG
rnacentral:tRNA from 1 species